GCUAGGUGUGGUGGUGCAUGCCUGUAAUCCCAGCAACUAGGGAGGCUAAGGCAUAAGGAUCACAAGUUUGAGGCCAGCCUCUAUAACUUAGUGAGGCUCUAAGCAAAUUAGUGAGACCCUGUCUCAG
rnacentral:sRNA from 1 species